GAAGAAGAAGAAGAAGAAGAAGAAGAAGAAGAAGAAGAAGAAGAAGAAGAAGAAGAAAGAAGGAUGAAGAGUAUACGAGGCAAUGGUGGAAAGCUGCCACAGCAAUCUGAGAGGGAGACAAUGGUGACUCAGACCAAGAUGACAGCAGGCCCAUGAAAGCAAGAUGGAGUCACUCAUGUCAAGCAGUCACUCAUACCACGGAGUGACGUAAUAAAUAAGGAAGGCAGCCAAGGGCGAUGAGCUGAGAAUAGAUAUCGCUAGAACCAGAACAUGCUGGCAGCCCACAGAACUGAUAACUAACAGAGCCAAGAGAGUCUGGAAGAACCGAGAAGUGAUAAUCACUAGAACCAGAAGAUGUCUGGAAGAGCUAAACACUGAUCAGAUUCCUUUAAAAAGGGUGGAUUUCUGCAGCAAACUGUCACACUUUCCAGACACUGACUCUUCCACGUCAGACCACAUUAGAAAGGUAACUGCCCGAGGCCUGAGUGAUCUCUGAACAUAACAGAGAUCCUCCACUGCCUGAACAUAAUGAGCAGUAGGCGCCGAGAGCUGACCCAGGACCAAGUCUUCAUCUCAAGUUCACAGACUGACUUUGGGUUUGAUUUGUUAAUGUCUUAACCUUGUUGUAUCACAUUCGUUGCAUGACUUUGUAUUGUGCUUUGUUUUGUGUCAUGUGUAUGAGGCCAAGUUAAAUGCAUAGUGAAAUGUCAUUGACUUUGGAAUCCUAAACCUGCUUUAUAAUUACGUUAAUCUUGCUUUAUGAUUGAAUAAAGCUGACACUGUGGAAACAUA